rnacentral:rRNA from 1 species
CAACUCUAGAGAUAGAGUCUUCCCCUUCGGGGGACAAAGUGACAGGUGGUGCAUGGUUGUCGUCAGCUCGUGUCGUGAGAUGUUGGGUUAAGUCCCGCAACGAGCGCAACCCUUAAGCUUAGUUGCCAGCAUUAAGUUGGGCACUUAAGUUGACUGCCGGUGACAAACCGGAGGAAGGUGGGGAUGACGUCAAAUCAUCAUGCCCCUUAUGAUUUGGGCUACACACGUGCUACAAUGGACAAUACAAAGGGCAGCUAAACCGCGAGGUCAUGCAAAUCCCAUAAAGUUGUUCUCAGUUCGGAUUGUAGUCUGCAACUCGACUACAUGAAGCUGGAAUCGCUAGUAAUCGUAGAUCAGCAUGCUACGGUGAAUACGUUCCCGGGUCUUGUACACACCGCCCGUCACACCACGAGAGUCUGUAACACCCGAAGCCGGUGGAGUAACCAUUUAUGGAGCUAGCCGUCGAAGGU